rnacentral:rRNA from 1 species
AGAGUUUGAUCAUGGCUCAGAACAAACGCUGGCGGCGUGCCUAACACAUGCAAGUCGUACGAGAAAGGGUCCUUCGGGACCUGAGUAAAGUGGCGCACGGGUGAGUAACGCGUGGAUAAUCUGCCCUUCAGUUGGGAAUAACUCACCGAAAGGUGGGCUAAUACCGAAUAAUGCUGUGAGACUUUGGUCGAUCAGCCAAAGAGAGCCUCUGCUUGCAAGCCCUCGCUGAAGGAUGAGUCCGCGUACCAUUAGCUGGUUGGUAGGGUAACGGCCUACCAAGGCGACGAUGGUUAGCUGGUCUGAGAGGAUGAUCAGCCACACUGGAACUGAGACACGGUCCAGACUCCUACGGGAGGCAGCAGUGAGGAAUCUUGCGCAAUGGGGGCAACCCUGACGCAGCAACGCCGCGUGAGUGAGGAAGGUCUUCGGAUCGUAAAGCUCUGUCAGUUGGGAAGAAACGCUAGAAAGCCAAUACCUUUCAUGCUUGACGGUACCAACAGAGGAAGCACCGGCUAACUCCGUGCCAGCAGCCGCGGUAAUACGGAGGGUGCAAGCGUUGUUCGGAAUUAUUGGGCGUAAAGAGCGUGUAGGCGGCCGGAUAUGUCAGAUGUGAAAGCCCUGAGCUCAACUCAGGAAGUGCAUUUGAAACUGUCCGGCUGGAGUAGGGGAGAGGGAAGUGGAAUUCCUGGUGUAGAGGUGAAAUUCGUAGAUAUCAGGAGGAACACCGGUGGCGAAGGCGACUUCCUGGCCCUAUACUGACGCUGAGACGCGAAAGCGUGGGUAGCAAACAGGAUUAGAUACCCUAGUAGUCC